GUCCUCAAGGAUGGGAGAAUAAAAGUUUCGAGAAUUCUUUAGAGAUGUAAUUACAUUCUCCAGAGAAAGUGGGAGAGAUUGAUGUGUCUUUUGCUCAAC